AUGAACAAUGCUCUACUUGCCCCUUAUACCACGGAAGAUGUUCGCAAUGCUUUUUUCUAUAUUGGGGACUUAAAAGCACCGGAGCCAGAUGGUCUCCAUGCUAUUUUUUACAAAAGGUUCUGGCCCAUGCUGGGAGAGGAACUAAUUGAGGAGGUUCUGAAAGCAAUCAACACAUGUACUAUCCCAAACGGUUGGAAUGAUAUGGUGAUUGUGAUGAUUCCUAAGAUUAAUACACCAAAAAAGGUAACACAAUUUAGACCAAUCAGCUUAUGUAAUGUGGUAUACAAAAUAAUUGCAAAAAUGGUGGCUACUCGAUUGAAGGCUUUUUUGCCAGAAAUUAUCAGCCCAACACAGAGUGCAUUUGUUCCGGGAAGAUUGAUAAGGGAUAAUAUUUUAAUGGCCUAUGAAUGUUUUCACACCAUCAAGAAUAGAAGAGAAGGCAGAGAGGGCUUGUGUGCUAUAAAACUUGACAUGCACAAAGCAUACGAUAGAGUCGAGUGGCCUUUUUUGAAAGAGAUUAUGUUGAGAUUGGGGUUUCGUCGAGAAUGGGUGAAUUUGAUUAUGCAACGUGUCUUAACUGUCGAGUACAGAGUAAUGAUCAAUGCGGAGGAAAGUGAGAGCUUCAAGCCUACGAGAGGGUUGAGGCAGGGUGAUCCAUUAUCACCAUACAUCUUCCUGCUGUGCACAGAGGGGCUGAAUGCAUUGCUGACGCAUGUUGAGGAAAAUGGAAACAUAUCAGGAGUUAAAGUCUGUAGAGACACUCCACCAGUCACAAAUCUUCUAUUUGUGGAUGAUUCAUUGAUCUUAAUGAAAGCCAACCAAAAUAAUGCGGCGGCCCUUAAAUCAGCAUUAGACUUAUAUUGUGCGGCGCUGGGACAGCUCGUAAGCGUGGAAAAGUCAAGUAUUUUCUUUAGCCCUAAUACAACGAUAGAGAUCAGAGAGUAAAUGUGUGCAACACUGAAUAUAAUGACGGAGGCAAUGAAUGAUAAAUAGUUGGGCUUGCCAGCAAAUGUGGGUGUUGAUAAAACAGACUGCUUUAAGUUUCUGAUUGAACGAACUGUUAAGAAAAUUAGUGGUUGGAAAGAAAAAUUACUAUCCGUCAAGGGAAAGGAGAUCCUGCUCAAGGCUGUGAUCCAAUUCAUACCUACCUAUGCAAUAUCGGUCUUUAAAAUUCCUAAAAAAAUUAUAAAAGAAUCAUCGAUGCGAUUGCACAUUUCUGGUGGGGAGACGAGGAGAACCAGAGGUGAUGUGCGUACCAAAGAACCAAGGAGGAAUGAGAUUCCGUGA
rnacentral:rRNA from 1 species